rnacentral:rRNA from 1 species
UACGGGGGGGGCAAGCGUUGUUCGGAAUUACUGGGCGUAAAGGGUUCGUAGGUGGCCAACUAAGUCAGACGUGAAAUCCCUCAGCUUAACUGGGGAACUGCGUCUGAGACUGGAUGGCUUGAGUGCAGGAGAGGAACGCGGAAUUCCAGGUGUAGCGGUGAAAUGCGCAGAUAUCAGGAGGAACACCGGUGGCGAAGGCGGGUCUCUGGGCCGAUAUUGACGCUGAGGAGCGAAAGCGUGGGGAGCAAACAGG